rnacentral:rRNA from 1 species
AUGGAGGGAGCUGCACCUUCGGCCAUGACUGCAGGAGCGGCCCAUCUGCUCGUUCCUCUCUCUCAUAGGUCAAAUCCGCCUCCUUCUAAGCUGAUUGUGACACACGGGGCGCGUUCUUACAAGAAUUACAAGGGUGAACUAUGCACCGUGUCUUCUUCAAGCUGGGAUAUCCAUGUAGAGAGGCGGACUACUUACAAUCAGCUUGUGGGUCUCCUGCGGAAUAAAUAUCCAUUGGGAAAUGAUGAGGGUGUUGUGCUUUCAAAGUGGAAUAGUUGCGGGAAAUGUUUUGUGCAAGUUCGCAAUAAUGAAAAUGCGGUGAGGAUGUAUGAUGACAAUGAGGAACACAAGAUUAUUAAGAUACUUGUCCAGUUCUGCAGGAAUGGUUGA